rnacentral:RNase_P_RNA from 1 species
AGUUCGCCGGACGGCCGCGGGUCUCGACCCGAGGAAAGUCCGGACUCCACAGGGCAGGGUGCUGGGUAACGCCCAGGCGGGGUGACCCGACGGAAAGUGCCACAGAGAACAGACCGCCGAUGGCCUUCGGGCACAGGUAAGGGUGAAACGGUGGUGUAAGAGACCACCAGCGUCCCGGGUGACCGGGGCGGCUCGGCAAACCCCACCCGGAGCAAGGCCAAGCAGGGACAGGAUUGCCCGUCCGCUACAUCCCAGGUGGGCCGCACGAGGCCGGUGGCAACACCGGUCCCAGAUAGAUGGCCGUCCCCGGGGAGAACCCGGGACAGAAUCCGGCUUACAGGCGAACUCA